rnacentral:tRNA from 1 species
GCCUGAGUGGCUCAGUGGUUGAGCAUCUGCCUUUGGUUCAGGGCAUGAUCCCGGCGUCUCGGGAUCAAGUCCUGCAUCGGGCU